rnacentral:rRNA from 2 species
AUGCAGUCGAGCGGAUGAAAGAGGAGCUUGCUCCUUGGAUUCAGCGGCGGACGGGUGAGUAACACGUGGGCAACCUGCCUGUAAGACUGGGAUAACUCCGGGAAACCGGGGCUAAUACCGGAUAACUUCUUUUCUCGCAUGGGAAGAGGUUGAAAGACGGUUUUGCUGUCACUUACAGAUGGGCCCGCGGCGCAUUAGCUAGUUGGUGGGGUAACGGCCUACCAAGGCAACGAUGCGUAGCCGACCUGAGAGGGUGAUCGGCCACACUGGGACUGAGACACGGCCCAGACUCCUACGGGAGGCAGCAGUAGGGAAUCUUCCGCAAUGGACGAAAGUCUGACGGAGCAACGCCGCGUGAGUGACGAAGGCCUUCGGGUCGUAAAACUCUGUUAUCAGGGAAGAACAAGCAUCAUUUAACUGAUGGUGCCUUGACGGUACCUGACCAGAAAGCCACGGCUAACUACGUGCCAGCAGCCGCGGUAAUACGUAGGUGGCAAGCGUUGUCCGGAAUUAUUGGGCGUAAAGCGCGCGCAGGCGGCUUCUUAAGUCUGAUGUGAAAGCCCACGGCUCAACCGUGGAGGGUCAUUGGAAACUGGGAGGCUUGAGUGCAGAAGAGAAGAGCGGAAUUCCACGUGUAGCGGUGAAAUGCGUAGAGAUGUGGAGGAACACCAGUGGCGAAGGCGGCUCUUUGGUCUGUAACUGACGCUGAGGCGCGAAAGCGUGGGGAGAGAACAGGAUUAGAUACCCUGGUAUUCCACGCCGUAAACGAUGAGUGCUAAGUGUUAGGGGGUUUCCGCCCCUUAGUGCUGCAGCAAACGCAUUAAGCACUCCGCCUGGGGAGUACGGCCGCAAGGCUGAAACUCAAAGGAAUUGACGGGGGCCCGCACAAGCGGUGGAGCAUGUGGUUUAAUUCGAAGCAACGCGAAGAACCUUACCAGGUCUUGACAUCCCGCUGACCGGUGCAGAGAUGUGCCUUUCCCUUCGGGGACAGCGGUGACAGGUGGUGCAGGGUUGUCGUCAGCUCGUGUCCUGAGAUGUUGGGUUAAGUCCCGCAACGAGCGCAACCCUUGAUCUUAGUUGCCAGCAUUGAAUUUGGGCACUCUAAAGGUGACGGCCCGGUGACAAACCGGAAGAAGGUGGGGGAAUAACGUCCAAACCACAAGGCCCCCUAGGACCUGGGGCUAACACCCGUGCUAACAGUGGAGUGGUCCAAAAGGGCGACCGAAGACCCCCAGGGUUUUACGGAAUCC